rnacentral:rRNA from 1 species
UACGUACGAGGCGAGCGUUAUCCGGAAUUAUUGGGCGUAAAGGGUGCGUAGGCGGCAUGAUAAGUUAUUGGCGGCAAAUCGAGGCUCAACCUCGUGGAAACUGAUAAUACUGUCUUGCUUGAGUGCAGAAGAGGUUAACGGAACUCCAUGUGGAGCGGUAAAAUGUGUAGAUAUAUGGAAGAACAUCAAUAACGGCGAAGGCAGUUAACUAUUCUGUUACUGACGUUGAGGCACGAAAGCGUGGGGAGCAAAAAGG